AAGCUGUCCCAUUUUUAGUGCUCAUCCCCAGAAGGUAGAACCAAGACCAGUAAUUAUAAAUGGCAUUGAUAUCACACUUUAAGCUGAACAAAGCACUUGACAUACAUUAUCUCAUUUGAACCUCACAGGUUCUGCAUGGUAGAUAUGACUGGCCCAUUUUGCAGAUGGAAAAACUGAAGCUCAGAGAGAUUGUCUCAACUAUGGUCAUUCAGUUGAUGAGCAUAGGAGGGAGAAAAAUCUCUCCAGGAGUCCCUGCAAAUGUGAAUGGCUCAAUUUUAUUGCAGACAAGCUACUGAAGGUAAGAAUGAUUACUCUGUCUCAGUACCCCUACUGCCUUAAGGCCAGAUUUUAGAUUUUUUUAGAUGUUAGAUUUCAUCUGUCCCCCAGGAUUCUCUGGUAGGGAAUGUCUCUGAUCUCUCUGUCACUGACUCAAAUCCCCAUUGAUUAUGUUCCCUCAAUUUUAGAGUCUCUACUAUCUCUUCCCACCUUAAUUUAACCACUUGAUAGCUAGAUGAGCUCCUACAAAGGAAUAUUUAUUUCAGAGGGAUAAUUUUUAAAAAUGGACUUUUCCGGCAGCAAAGUUAUUGGGGUAGGGAGAGAUGCCUACAGAUACUCAUCUGUCACAGUGGAAAAGAAGAUUCAUUAAUUUAUUCAAUAAGCUCAUAGCGGAUGCUAAGCCUUGUGGUAGCUAUCAGCAAAAUUCUGGAAGGUAUUAUUAAAAGGACUAAUUGUGAUAAUUUAAAAGGGGAAGUUUAGUCACAUGACCAGCAAGAUCAGAGAUUAAUUACUAGUUUAUAACUCUGCCCCAUUUAAAAAAAAAGGAGUGGAAAUUAUUUGACUAAUAGAGAACAAUUACAGUUGAAUCUCUAGAACAAAUAAGAGUAAAAAAAGGGUAAAAUUCAUUUGAAUCAAUACUAAAGAACUUUAAUUCUCAAACUACUCACUGAACAUGCUCCUCUACCAACCUCCAUGCUCCUACAAUAGGGAAACAAGGUAACUCACAAAUUUGCAUCUUGGUUCCAUCACACAGAGUCUCAGCUGGCACAUUCCCACCACCACCACCACCACCAUCACCACCACCUCCACUACCAUCACAAUCUUCUCCUGGUCUCACAACAAGCAGUAGAUAAUGACCAAACCACUGUGAGGAAGUGUUGGUAAGGGCAGACUGGAUGUUGGCGAAAGGGCGACCAUAAGUGGGCUGCCUUUUGAAAAGUGUUCAGCCCAGGGUGGUAGAGGGUUUUUACAAAAAGUAGAAGAUGCUUACUCAGUCCAGCCCAAAGAAGGCAAUGAGAAAAGUGAAGGAGGAAAUGAUUAGAAGAAAUACCUACACUGGAACAGUGGAAAGGGGGCUAAACUAUCUAAAUCCAGUCAGGUAACCCAAGAGGGCAAUCAGAAGAGGACCCCAGGCAGGCAAAUACUACAUCUCCUAAUAUGAGAGGAAAACAAAAGCAAAGGGGAAAAAAUACACACACAUAUAUACACUCACACAUACUCACAAAUGCAACAACAUGAAAUGACAAUAAACAAUGCUAAAUAUAAGAAGGCA
ensembl:lncRNA